rnacentral:snRNA from 1 species
AAACAAAGCAUUGCGAUGGUC